rnacentral:rRNA from 1 species
UGGGGAAUAUUGGACAAUGGGCGCAAGCCUGAUCCAGCCAUGCCGCGUGAGUGAUGAAGGCCCUAGGGUUGUAAAGCUCUUUCACCGGUGAAGAUAAUGACGGUAACCGGAGAAGAAGCCCCGGCUAACUUCGUGCCAGCAGCCGCGGUAAUACGAAGGGGGCUAGCGUUGUUCGGAUUUACUGGGCGUAAAGCGCACGUAGGCGGACUUUUAAGUCAGGGGUGAAAUCCCGGGGCUCAACCCCGGAACUGCCUUUGAUACUGGAAGUCUUGAGUAUGGUAGAGGUGAGUGGAAUUCCGAGUGUAGAGGUUAAAUUCGUAGAUAUUCGGAGGAACACCAGUGGCGAAGGCGGCUCACUGGACCAUUACUGACGCUGAGGUGCGAAAGCGUGGGGAGCAAACAGG